rnacentral:rRNA from 1 species
UACGUAGGGGGCAAGUGUUGUCCGGAAUCAUUGGGCGUAAAGCGCGUGUAGGCGGUCCGGUAAGUCCGCUGUGAAAGUCGGGGGCUCAACCCUCGGAUGCCGGUGGAUACUGUCGGGCUUGAGUACGGAAGAGGCGAGUGGAAUUCCUGGUGUAGCGGUGAAAUGCGCAGAUAUCAGGAGGAACACCAAUUGCGAAGGCAGCUCGCUGGGACGUUACUGACGCUGAGACGCGAAAGCGUGGGGAGCAAACAGG